rnacentral:rRNA from 1 species
UACGUAGGGGGCAAGCGUUGUCCGGAUUUAUUGGGCGUAAAGAGCGUGUAGGCGGCCAGGUAGGUCCGUUGUGAAAACUCGAGGCUCAACCUCGAGACGUCGGCGGAAACCCUCUGGCUAGAGUCCGGAAGAGGAGAGUGGAAUUCCUGGUGUAGCGGUGAAAUGCGCAGAUAUCAGGAGGAACACCGGUGGCGAAGGCGGGUCUCUGGGCAACUACUGACGCUGAGGAGCGAAAGCGUGGGGAGCGAACAGG